rnacentral:tRNA from 1 species
AAGGUUUUAAGUUAAUUAAACUAAUAGCCUUCAAAGCUGGAAAUAAAAAUAUAUUUUUAAACCUUA